rnacentral:rRNA from 1 species
GACGAACGCUGGCGGCGUGCUUAACACAUGCGAGUCGAACGGAAAGGCCCUGCUUUUGUGGGGUGCUCGAGUGGCGAACGGGUGAGUAACACGUGAGUAACCUGCCCUUGACUUUGGGAUAACUUCAGGAAACUGGGGCUAAUACCGGAUAGGAGCUCCUGCUGCAUGGUGGGGGUUGGAAAGUUUCGGCGGUUGGGGAUGGACUCGCGGCUUAUCAGCUUGUUGGUGGGGUAGUGGCUUACCAAGGCUUUGACGGGUAGCCGGCCUGAGAGGGUGACCGGCCACAUUGGGACUGAGAUACGGCCCAGACUCCUACGGGGGGCAGCGGUGGGGAAUAUUGCACAAUGGGCGGAAGCCUGAUGCAGCAACGCCGCGUGCGGGAUGACGGCCUUCGGGUUGUAAACCGCUUUCGCCUGUGACGAAGCGUGAGUGACGGUAAUGGGUAAAGAAGCACCGGCUAACUACGUG